rnacentral:rRNA from 1 species
CUAUGCGCAAUUCCUCGACAAACGAUACGUGUUGUGUCAAGUGAUGUAUUGUAAGGGCCUCUGAAAAAUUCUGAAAAAUAUACGAACUGUUAAGUUUGUACCAAUCAGUCGGCAAGAAAAACGCCGAAACACCAAAAAUACAUUGCACAGAAAUUAAAAAUAGCUCGUUUCGAUUAGGAAACGAAUUAGACAAUCAAAUUCACAUUCCAAAAAGGUACUCGAUAAAAAAACCAAAUAACUAAUCCAAAAAA